rnacentral:rRNA from 1 species
GACGAACGUUGGCGGCGUGCUUAAUACAUGCAAGUCAACUGAAGCAGUGGUAGCAAUAUCGCUGUGGAGGUGGCGCACGGGUGAGUAACACGUAGGUAAUCUGCCUUCAGGUCUGGCAUAACUCCGGGAAACCGGGGCUAAUAGCAGAUGAUGCAGCGGCUCGACAUCGAGACAGUUGUUAAAGCUAUGGCGCCUGAAGAUGAGCCUGCGUCUGAUUAGCUAGUUGGCGGGGUAACGGCCCACCAAGGCAACGAUCAGUAGCUGGUCUGAGAGGAUGAUCAGCCACACUGGAACUGAGACACGGUCCAGACUCCUACGGGAGGCAGCAGUAAGGAAUAUUGCGCAAUGGGAGAAAUCCUGAAGCAGCAACGCCGCGUGAGGGACGAAGGGCUUUGGCUUGUAAACCUCUGUAGUGAGAGAAAAAAAUCCCAAUCUUUGGGACAUGAUGGUAUCUCAAAAGUAAGCCCCGGCUAACUACGUG